GCGGGGCAUGGCGGGAGCGGCGCGCCGCUACUUAAGGCGCUGCGCGAAGGCCCCUGGUCUCUCUGCGCUGGCGCUGCGGAGUCGCAGCAACCUAAUAUUUAAAAAUGUUGGACAGGUGAAUGAUCACACCUAAAUUGGAAGCAAUGCUCAGAACUUCCUAAGAAUGAAAACACCUUCUGCUAGAAGAGCUGAAAUGUGUUGGUACUUACCAACUGCCUGGAAUGCACUUCAUGGAUUUUUUUUGAAGUGUUUGUGAUAUGGGAUAAACAUCUUGAGGGAAGAGUUCCUUGUAAAUUUAUCAGUCUCCAGGAAAGGACACCAGCAUGUGCAAGGAAUUGGAAUUUGGUAUUAAACAUCUCAUGAUGUGAUGAAUGGCUGAUUACUGACUUCAUCUUGGAUGGCUUCCACUGCACUCUGCAAUAUCUUAUCUUGAGGAUGGGAUUGAGACAAGUAAUGGCUAAAACUACACAACUUCAAUGGUUGUGUUUAAAUAUGCAUCUAGCCAUUUGGUCAAACUGAGGUUUCAUAAUAAAAAUAAAACCUCUUUAAUCUAUUUCUAUGGCUGUGUGUAUUAACUGAAAUAAAACAUGAAGAUGCUACCAGCA